UUUAGUGGGAGGAAGCUCGGCUGGAGUGAUAGAUGGCGUGGACAGCUGCAAUACAGCAUGAAAGGAGUGUGGGCUGGAUAGACCAGUGAACGUGUGUGUGUGUGUGUGUGUGUGUGUAGUGUGAAGGUGAGUGUGUGUCUAUACCCAUGUCUUUCCCUGUGCCUACACCUUGAUCCUACUUGAUCAGGUAAGUCCUGUGUCCCCUACCCCCAGCCCACAGGACCAUCCUAAAGUGAAAAACCAAAUUUCUCUGA